UACGUAGGUGGCAAGCGUUGUCCGGAUUUAUUGGGUUUAAAGGGUGCGUAGGCGGUCUGAAAAGUCAGUUGUGAAAUACGGCAGCUUAACUGUCGAGGUGCAAUUGAUACUGCCAGACUUGAGUACUGAUGAGGUAGGCGGAAUGGACGGUGUAGCGGUGAAAUGCUUAGAGAUCGUCCAGAACACCGAUAGCGAAGGCAGCUUACUAAGGAGUAACUGACGCUGAGGCACGAAAGUGUGGGGAUCAAACAGG
rnacentral:rRNA from 1 species